UCUACAUUAGGUUGUACAUUAGGUUGGCCUGUGAGAGAGUACUGUCUUAUUAAUUGACAUGAAAAGACCUAGCCCACUAUGGGGGGCACCAUUCUCUACGCAUGGGGUCCUGAACUGUGUCCGUUGACAUGAGCAAACAUGUGAGGGAGCAUGCAUGUGUUUACUUCUCUCUGCUCUUGACUGAAUGCCAUGUGUCCAGCUGUCCAAGUUCUUGUCUUGACUUCCCCAUGGAGAAGGACCUCGACCUGGUGCUGUUAGCUGAAGCACCUUCUUUCUCCUCUGAGUUACUUAGGGCAGGGUAUUUUCCAACAACAAGAGGAAUGAAACAAGAGAACUUUGUUUUAAAUUGUUAUAGACAUUGUCUUUAACAAUUAAAAACAUAAUUAGAAUACAAUGUUAGAGAAGACGGGGUUCAUAGCCUGGAAUCCCAAGCCCACCUGUGUGCAGCGGCUUCCCACGGUGACAGGAUUCUCAAGGGGCUUAGGGAAAGGGCUUUACAUGGGUACAUGGCUUCAGAAGGCUCUGGCCAUGGCUGCCUCCUACGAGGUUUUCUGGACCUGAGAUAAACAGAACCUCCUGGUAGCAGAGCUACCUAUGUCUCUGUGACAGAAGGGAGGAAAGGAGAGGAGACACAAAAGAAUGCGCCCUGCAUAGCUCUUGUUUUGAGGCCCCGCUUCCCAGCCCCACAUCUAUGGGACCUAUUCAAGGCCCAUUUAGCCUUCAUGAUCCAAGGGCAACUUUGUAGCAACAUCAGCUACUCCCGUGAGUGGGUGGGGGUGGUUCGGUAGAAGAGCCUAGAAUCCCCCAGGGAGGGGCUGGGGUGUGGUUUGAUGGAAGAGGGUUUGGGCAAUUAUUGAGAGAUUAAAGGGAAGCAAGUGCUUUUCUCUGACUGAGCCUUAGGCCAGCCCAGGUAAACAAGACUAUCGCACGGUCACGUGAUCUCUUCCAGCUCUUCCAGGGCCCCUGGCUGUCUAUGGGAAGGAUCGCUGCGGAAGGCCGCGCAGGAAGCGUCGGCAGAUUCUAAGGACGGCAGAUAUUGCUGAACUGAGCUUUUAAGAGGCAGAGAGUCAGGGAGGGCCUUGUCUUUCCUGACUCUGCCCCAUAACUUGACCCUGGUCCAUCAGACAAGAGCAGUUCUGGAUCAGAGCUUUUGACUGUGGGAUGGCAACCCCAUCCCUCCACUUGGGGUAUAGAACUAAACAGAAUUCGCAACAAAGGCAUCUCGAAGGGCUGAGAAGCACUUAAAGAAAUGUUCAGAGUCCUUAGUGAUCAGGGCAAUGCAAAUUAAGACGACCCUGAGAUUCCACCUUAUAUCAAUCAGAAUGGCUAAGAUCAAAUACUCAGGUGACAGCAGAUGCUGGAGAAGAUGUGGAGAAAGAGGAACACUCCUCUAUGGCUGAUGGGAUUGCAAACUUUGUAAGUGUCUUAACUGCAAACAGAACCCUAACCUGCAAGGUAUAUUGUUCCUGUUUCAGUCUCCCAUUAACUUACAAGUUAUAUUGUUCCUGUUUUAGUCUCACACAUGGCCUGCAAACUACCUGGACCAUGAUAACAGAAACAGGGAGGGAGGGUGAAAGAGGAGCCAUUGACCAAGAGGUCUGGGUCAAGAGGCCAAGAGGCCAAGAGAGCAGCUUAGCCAAAAUGGCUGAGUUAUAUAGUGAGCAGGCUGGGUGAAGGAAGUGGAAGGCCACAGGAGGGAGAAGUUUAGGGUACACAGGGGAGAAGGGCUGGGAGAAGCCACAGGUACUGAAGGAUGCUGGGAGAACUGGUUGGCAUCCACUUUAAUAUGUUAAUAGGCACCUCAGUCAGCCAUUUGUUCUGAGUUUUUGAAACCUAACAUUAUGUUUAUUGAUUUAUCUUUAUUAAAAAGAUUUUUUAAAAGAACUUUUGUGUGUCUGUGUGGGUGUGUGCACACAAGUAUAGGUAUACUCUGAAGCCUCAGGAAGGCAACAGAUCCCCCAGGACCUGGAGUUGCAGGCAGUGGUAAGCAGCCAGGCCUGGGUGCUGGGAACUGAACUCAGGUCCUCUGCAAGAGCAGCAAGUGCUCUUAGCUCUGCAGCACCUGACUGGCCUCCAGCAGCUAGUGGAGUCCCCAGACCCCCACCCCGCCAUGUUGUUAAUGCACAGACUCUCAGUGGAGAGUCUGAGAGUCGGAGG
rnacentral:lncRNA from 1 species